rnacentral:rRNA from 1 species
UACGUAGGGGGCAAGCGUUGUCCGGAAUUAUUGGGCGUAAAGCGCGCGCAGGCGGUCGAUUAAGUCUGGUGUUUAAUCCUGGGGCUCAACUCCGGGUCGCACUGGAAACUGGUAGACUUGAGUACAGAAGAGGAAAGUGGAAUUCCACGUGUAGCGGUGAAAUUCGUAGAUAUUGGGAAGAACACCGGUGGCGAAGGCGGCUCACUGGCUCGUAACUGACGCUCAGGCGCGACAGCGUGGGGGAUCAAACAGG